ensembl:lncRNA
UAAAUCACAACAAAAACAUUUUUGUUGAUUCCAAGUUAUACCAAAUUCAAAGCCUCUCUUCUAUAUAUAUUGAUUUGAAAAAUAUAAAACAAAUUGUUAUAGGUUUAAAAUAUAUAAUUUAAAUAAUUUUUUCACGUGGUGUUUUUCAGAACUUACAGGCAAGCAGUCGUAAAGGUCAAGACUCUGGAUCACCUCUGGAUAAACAGGAGCAUCAAGACAUCACACAAGACACAACGGACAUUUUUAAAAAUGGUGGUGUAAAAACCAAACCAGUGGAUACUGCUACAUUUAAAAUCAAAGUGGACUGGACAGAAUCGUUUCCAGAGAAGUGGGGAAAACAGUUAGAGAUGGCCCUUCAGAGCUGGUUUAUCAAACAGAUAAAACAAGUAAAAGUAUCUGUCAUCAGCAUUAAACUCAUGGAGGAUCAAUCAUGGGCAGAGGUGGAGAUAGAACCAUCAGCAGGUGAGAUGAUAUAUGAUAAUUCUCUUUAAUAACCCUUUUCAGUUUAAAUCAUGUGGAUCCUAGUAUCUGAAAUAGCUAACAUGCAGUGCUUUAUCAGUACUUUUAUAUUACGUAAAGGCAAACACAAAUGUUGGUGUUGACAUGUUACUAAGAGGAUCACAUACUACAGUUACAAAUUAAAUUUUAAAAGUAAUGAGUAAAGUAUUACGUAAAAUGUUACUUUUAAAGUUACUACUGUUAUAGCCCACUCAAAAAACAAACAAACAAACAAAAAAUAGAUUAUAAUUAGGGGUGGACGAUCUGAUGAUUUUAUAUCAUGAUCAAUCUUGGUGACCUCCAAAAGCAGAUAGUAGAAAUCACAAUAUUUUAUGUCCUCGUAAUAAUAUUAAAACUACAGCAAUUACUGCCUGUAACAUGCUGUUGCUGAUGGUUAAAACGCAAGUUUUAAAGACACCAUUUUGACAACUAUUUAUUCAAUGCAAUACUGUGUUUUAAAUUGUGCAAAUAGAUAAGUCCACAGGCUUGUUCCUGUUUUGAAUAUUCUCACUAUUACAUCUUCAGCAAUUCAUAUGGUGGAUCGUGAUUAUGUUAUUAGAUUGCGAUGCUAUAUUUUGGGAAGAUUGCCCACCCCUAACUAUAAUGAUAAAUAUUAUCAUCCACCUCAACAGACAAUAACAAUAUGUAUAUUCUAAGCAUGCGUGUGUUCACAUUCCUAUAACUAAAACA